rnacentral:rRNA from 1 species
CAGUAGCCACGGUAACACGGAGGGGGCUAGCGUUGUUCGGAAUUACUGGGCGUAAAGCGCACGUAGGCGGCUUGGUAAGUUAGAGGUGAAAGCCUGGAGCUCAACUCCAGAAUUGCCUUUAAGACUGCCGAGCUAGCAGGUGAGAGAGGUGAGUGAAAUUCCGAGUGUAGAGGUGAAAUUCGUAGAUAUUCGGAAGAACACCAGUGGCGAAGGCGGCUCACUGGCUCAUACUGGACGCUGAGGUGCGAAAGCGUGGGGAGCAAACAGGAUUAGAUACCCCUGUAGUCCCUGUCUCUUAUAC